rnacentral:lncRNA from 1 species
CUCAGAGGCUUGUGGGCUCCCUGGGCCUCCCCUGCCAUAGCUCCUUCGCCUAUAAAUUCCCUAAAAUCCCAGAAAAAUCAGGAGAGCCACGAAAACACUUUUCCGCCGCCGCAAGCUUCAGUCUCCACAAGAUCCCAUCUGGGGCACGUUCUGGUGUCCUGCCGGAGGGGGGAUUCGGAUACGGAGGGCUUCUUCAUCAACACCAUGACCUCUCCGAUGAUGCGUGAGUAGUUCACCAU